rnacentral:rRNA from 1 species
UACAGAGGGUGCAAGCGUUAAUCGGAAUUACUGGGCGUAAAGGGCGCGUAGGUUGUUGUUUAAGUGAGCUGUGAAAUCCCUGGGCUUAACCUGGGAACUGCAGCUUAUACUGGAUAACUAGAGUGCAAUAGAGGGUAGUGGAAUUUCCGGUGUAGCGGUGAAAUGCGUAGAUAUCGGAAGGAACACCAGUGGCGAAGGCGGCUACCUGGAUUGACACUGACACUGAGGCGCGAAAGCGUGGGUAGCAAACAGG